rnacentral:lncRNA from 1 species
GGGGACUUGCAAGAACUUACUUGUUAGAUUGUAAACUUUUCAAGGACAAAAACUAUUUCAUUUUUUGACUUUGUAUCAAUUUAUUAACAUCCUGCCUGGCACAAAAUAAAUACUAAAUAAAAUCUUUGCUGAUUCCUUACUGGAUUAUUUCUGAGGACAAAGUUUAACCUUGUGACAUUACUCCUCAAUGGAAUUUGUACAGGGAUGAAAAUAUUCUAUAAAUGAGCCAGAUGGAUGAUGGGGCUCGGUGGCUAAGGCCUAAACAGCAGGUGGACCAUGAAAGCCAUUCUUAUACCUCUACGAAAAGGUCAGUUCUCCCCAUCGUAGAUGAAAGAAGUGGAAAUGCAGCAAAUGUCGUUAUAAAUCCCCAGCAACAUGACUCCAAUGUAGCUAAGUCUUUUAAUGAUUCUUUUAGUUGUUUGGUCAAAAAAAAAAAGGCUUCUGCUCUCAUGCAUGAUUUAUGGCUGGAUUUGAUGGCAUAUCCUUUCAACCAGCUUUUUAAACUUUCUCUCUUUUGGUACUGAGGAAAUUUCUUUUUGUAAGUGUAAGACUGUUUCAUUUACCAUUUGUUGAUGUGAAUUUGCUUCUGUUCAUCUCCUACUAAGCACUAACAUUUAGGCUUUCUAGAAAGAUUUUAUUAUUUUGAGAUGCUAUUGCUUUUAUUUCAUAUGCUCUACAUUAUAAAUAUUCCAAACUGCCCACAGAAACCACAGUAAAUGGCCCAUUAGCAUUCUCUGCCUCAUAUAAUGUCUUUUUUAAGGAGGAAAAAAGAAAAUUACUAAAUAUGUUUUCUAAGUACAUAGCUCACUGCCUUAUUUAACAUCUGGAAACUGAUUGUAACGGGUUUUAAUGUUUUCAAGUCAUUUAAUAUUGAAGUUUAGCAUAGCAUCAGAAAAAUGCUUUAGAUACCUUAUAGUACCAAGCCAUAAGCCAAGUUGUGAUAAACAAAAUCUAGAGAAUAUAACAGUCUUCUAUAUGGGAGGCAUAACAUAUUAAGCAUGCCAAUUUCCUUAUCAACAAUUCACAAUAUUCUAUAUAAAACUGAGGAUAUUUAUUUAAAUGUCCACUUUCUUUAAGUGAAAUACAUUUCAUUUAUUUAAUAGAACACAAAAAAUAAUAUCCACUACCUGUAACCCAU